GUCCACGCCCUAAACGAUGCGUACUAGGUAUUGGCAGUAUCGACCCUGUCAGUGCCGUUUAAAAGCUAACGCGUUAAGUACGCCGCCUGGGGAGUACGGCCGCAAGGCUAAAACUCAAAGGAAUAGACGGGGACCCCGCACAAGCGGUGGAGCAUGUGGUUUAAUUCGACGAUAAGCGUGGAACCUUACCCAGGCUCAACUACUAGCUGCAUAAGUUCAGAAACGGACUUAGCCUUCGAGGGUGCUAGAUAGGUGCUGCAUGGCUGCCGU
rnacentral:rRNA from 1 species